UUAAGAUACUAAGGGCAUACGGCGGAUGCCUUGGCGAUAUCUGCCGAAGAAGGACGCGACAAGCUGCGAAAAGCUGCGGAGAGGCGCAAAUAGCCAUUGAACCGCAGAUAUCCGAAUGGAGAAAUCCGGCAGGGCUCAUCCCCUGUCAUCCAUGCCAUAGAGCAUGAGAAGGUAAGCCGGUGAACUGAAACAUCUAAGUAGCCGGAGGAGAAGAAAUCAAACGAGAUACCCCAAGUAGCGGCGAGCGAACGGGGCAGAAGCCCAAACCGCGGAAGGAAACUUUUGCGGGGUAGAGGGCCAUCAAUAAAACAAGAACCUUUAGCUGAAUCUGUUGGGAAACAGAGCCGAAGACAGUGAAAGCCUGGUAAGCGAAAGAGGGACUUGCGGAGAUGGUACCGGAGUACUGCGGGACACGAGAAAUCCCGUAGGAAGCAGGGGGGACCACCCUCCAAGGCAAAACACAGAUAUCGACCGAUAGCGCAUAGUACCGUGAGGGAAAGGUGAAAAGCACCCCGGGAGGGGAGUGAAAUAGAACCUGAAACCGUAUGUUUACAAGCAGUCGGAGACCGUAUAUAUACCAGGUCGACGGCGUGCCUAUUGAAGAAUGAACCAGCGAGUUACGAGGACCGGCAAGGUUAAGCAGGAAAUGCGGAGCCGAAGCGAAAGCGAGUCUUAAUAGGGCGAGAGUCGGAAUGCGUAGACCCGAAACCACAGUGAUCUACCCAUGUCCAGGCUGAAACACAGGUAAAAAUGUGCGGAGGGCCGAACCUAUAUCUGUUGAAAAAGGUUAGGAUGAGGUGUGGGUAGGGGUGAAAUUCCAAUCGAACGUGGAGAUAGCUGGUUCUCCCCGAAAUAGCUUUAGGGCUAGCCUCAGGUGGUGAUUACAGGCGGUAGAGCACUGAUCAGGAGAGGGACCUACCCGGUUACCAAACCCAGUCAAACUCCGAAUGGCUGUAAUCAAACCUGGGAGUCAGACUACGACUUAUAAGGGCCGUGGUCAAGAGGGAAACAGCCCAGAUCAUCAGCUAAGGUCCCAAAUGCCGUGCUAAGUGGCGAAGGAUGUGGCGUUUCAUAAACAACCAGGAUGUUGGCUCAGAAGCAGCCACCAUUCAAAGAGUGCGUAAUAGCUCACUGGUCGAGAGACGCUGCGCCGAAGAUGUCCGGGGCUCAAGCACGGAACCGAAGCUAUGGCAGAUUGCUUGCAAUCUGGGUAGGGGAGCGUUCUUAUCACGGAGAAGCGGUACCGAAAGGAGCCGUGGAGAGGUAAGAAGUGAGAAUGCUGGUAUGAGUAUCGAAAAGGCUGGUGAGAAUCCAGCCCACCGAAAGCCCGAGGGUUCCUGAGCAACGAUCGUCGUCUCAGGGUAAGUCGGGACCUAAGCCGAGGCAAAGACGCAUAGGCGAUGGAGAACAGGUUGAAAUUCCUGUACCGGAGCAGUCCGUCUGAGCGAUGGAGUGACGCAGCAGGGCACACGAGCAUGCGGCUGGAAGAGCAUGUCCAAGCCCGUAGCCCGUAUGGCAGGGAAAUCCGCCAUACAUAAGGGUGAGAGGUGAUGGGGAGUUAAAGGAAACUUUGACGAACUCGUGAAUCCCACACUGCCAAGAAAAGCUUCUAGCGAGGACUGAUCCGCCCGUACCGUAAACCGACACAGGUAGGCGGGGAGAGAAUCCUAAGGUGCGCGGGAAAACCCUCGUUAAGGAACUCGGCAAAUUGCAUCCGUAACUUCGGGAGAAGGAUGACCCUGAGUAAAAGAAGAGCAGAAACGCUUAGAGGAGAAAAGGGUGGCAGAAAAGAGGCCCAAGCAACUGUUUACCAAAAACACAGGUGCCUGCGAAAGCGAAAGCUGAAGUAUAGGUGCUGACGCCUGCCCGGUGCCGGAAGGUUAAGGAGAGAGGUCAGCUAAGGCGAAGCUUCGAACUGAAGCCCCGGUGAACGGCGGCCGUAACUAUAACGGUCCUAAGGUAGCGAAAUUCCUUGUCGGGU
rnacentral:rRNA from 1 species